GAUCAUGGCUCAGGAUGAACGCUAGCUACAGGCUUAACACAGUGCAAGUCGAGGGCAUCAUGACUGAGGUUUACCUUAGUUGAUGGCGACCGCGAAUGGGUGAGUAACACGUAUCCAACCUGCCCGUUACUGGAGGAUAGCCCUCCGAAAGGAGAAUUAAUACUCCAUGUUGUGCUGAAUUCGCAUGUUUUCGGCACUAAAGAUUCAUCGGUAACGGAUGGGGAUGCGUCCGAUUAGGUAGUAGGCGGGGUAACGGCCCACCUAGCCUUCGAUCGGUAGGGGUUCUGAGAGGAAGGUCCCCCACAUUGGAACUGAGACACGGUCCAAACUCCUACGGGAGGCAGCAGUGAGGAAUAUUGGUCAAUGGGCGCAAGCCUGAACCAGCCAAGUAGCGUGAAGGAUGACUGCCCUAUGGGUUGUAAACUUCUUUUAUGCGGGAAUAACCUCGACCAUGUAUGGUCGUUUGCAUGUACCGCAAGAAAAAGCAUCGGCUAAUUCCGUG
rnacentral:rRNA from 1 species